GAUGAACGCUGGCGGCGUGCCUAAUACAUGCAAGUCGAGCGAACAGACGAGGAGCUGCUCCUCUGACGUUAGCGGCGGACGGGUGAGUAACACGUGGAUAACCUACCUAUAAGACUGGGAUAACUUCGGGAAACCGGAGCUAAUACCGGAUAAUAUAUUGAACCGCAUGUUUCCAUAGUGAAAGACGGUUUUGCUGUCACUUAUAGAUGGAUCCGCGCCGCAUUAGCUAGUUGGUAAGGUAACGGCUUACCAAGGCAACGAUGCGUAGCCGACCUGAGAGGGUGAUCGGCCACACUGGAACUGAGACACGGUCCAGACUCCUACGGGAGGCAGCAGUAGGGAAUCUUCCGCAAUGGGCGAAAGCCUGACGGAGCAACGCCGCGUGAGUGAUGAAGGUCUUCGGAUCGUAAAACUCUGUUAUUAGGGAAGAACAAAUGUGUAAGUAACUAUGCACGUCUUGACGGUACCUAAUCAGAAAGCCACGGCUAACUACGUG
rnacentral:rRNA from 1 species